GUCUUGGUCGGAAACCAAGACAUGAAAAGGAG
rfam:Slackia heliotrinireducens DSM 20476, complete genome.